ACGCUCGACACCUACGGCAGCAGUGGGGAAUAUUGCACAAUGGGGGAAACCCUGAUGCAGCGACGCCGCGUGAGCGAAGAAGUAUUUCGGUAUGUAAAGCUCUAUCAGCAGGGAAGAUAAUGACGGUACCUGACUAAGAAGCUCCGGCUAAAUACGUGCCAGCAGCCGCGGUAAUCUGAGCGGGCUGGCAAGGC
rnacentral:rRNA from 1 species